AGAGUUUGAUCAUGGCUCAGAAUCAACGCUGGCGGCGUGCCUAACACAUGCAAGUCGAACGCGAAAGGGACUUCGGUCCUGAGUAGAGUGGCGAACGGGUGAGUAACGCGUGGGUGACCUACCCUCGAGUGGGGGAUAACGUUCCGAAAGGGACGCUAAUACCGCAUGACAUUCCGGGUUUGAAGACCUGGAAAUCAAAGCCGGGGACCGUAAGGCCUGGCGCUUGAGGAGGGGCCCGCGUCUGAUUAGCUAGUUGGCGGGGUAACGGCCCACCAAGGCGACGAUCAGUAGCCGGCCUGAGAGGGCGGACGGCCACACUGGGACUGAGACACGGCCCAGACUCCUACGGGAGGCAGCAGUGGGGAAUUGUUCGCAAUGGGCGCAAGCCUGACGACGCAACGCCGCGUGGAGGAUGAAGGUCUUCGGAUUGUAAACUCCUGUUGAUCGGGACGAAAAGCUUCAACCUAAUACGUUGAAGACUGACGGUACCGGUUGAGGAAGCCACGGCUAACUCUGUGCCAGCAGCCGCGGUAAUACAGAGGUGGCAAGCGUUGUUCGGAAUUACUGGGCGUAAAGGGCGCGUAGGCGGCCUCCUAAGUCGGACGUGAAAGCCCCAGGCUUAACCUGGGAACUGCGUCCGAUACUGGGAGGCUUGGAUUCGGGAGAGGGAUGUGGAAUUCCAGGUGUAGCGGUGAAAUGCGUAGAUAUCUGGAGGAACACCGGUGGCGAAGGCGGCAUCCUGGACCGAGAUCGACGCUGAGGCGCGAAAGCUAGGGGAGCAAACGGGAUUAGAUACCCUGGUAGUCCC
rnacentral:rRNA from 1 species